rnacentral:misc_RNA from 1 species
ACUAAAGGUUCGGUACAAGGAGAACCUUCCUUUGGUGCUCCGUGGUGUAACUUGUUGCUUUCCCGGUGGAAAGAAGAUUGGGAUUGUUGGUAGGACUGGAAGUGGUAAAUCUACUUUGAUCCAGGCGCUAUUCCGAUUGGUUGAACCAUCGAGUGGAAGGAUAGUUAUCGACAGUAUUGAUAUUUCUACAAUUGGCCUUCAUGACCUCCGUAGCCGUCUCAGUAUCAUACCUCAGGAUCCCACUUUAUUUGAAGGC